AAUAGAUACCCAGGUAGUCCAUGCCGUAAACGUUGGGAACUAGAUGUAGGGCCUGUUCCACGGGUUCUGUGUCGUAGCUAACGCAUUAAGUUCCCCGCCUGGGGAGUACGGCCGCAAGGCUAAAACUCAAAGGAAUUGACGGGGGCCCGCACAAGCGGCGGAGCAUGCGGAUUAAUUCGAUGCAACGCGAAGAACCUUACCAAGGCUUGACAUAUAGAAGAACACUGCAGAGAUGCAGGACUCUUUGGACACUUCUAUACAGGUGGUGCAUGGUUGUCGUCAGCUCGUGUCGUGAGAUGUUCGGUUAAGUCCGGCAACGAGCGCAACCCUCGUCCUAUGUUGCCAGCGGUUCGGCCGGGAACUCAUGGGAUACUGCCGUGGUCAACACGGAGGAAGGUGGGGAUGACGUCAAAUCAUCAUGCCCCUUAUGUCUUGGGCUUCACGCAUGCUACAAUGGCCGGUACAAAGAGCUGCGAUACCGCGAGGUGGAGCGAAUCUCAAAAAGCCGGUCUCAGUUCGGAUUGGGGUC
rnacentral:rRNA from 1 species